rnacentral:lncRNA from 1 species
UAACAAUGUUCUCUCUCGGCUUUGGAGUCCCUGGCUUGCUUGGCCACUUUGUUCUCAGCCAUGAUGACCUUACUUUUUAACUCAGCAACCUCAUCGUCAUGCCUUUCCUUUAAUUGCUCAAUGAUGCGGGCUCGUUCCUCCACAUUUUUAUCUCUGCUUUAUUCAAGUCAAACCCAUACUCGGUUACUUCCUUAAAUUGUCUAUGAGCUUUUCAUCCUUCACGCUCCUGGGGGGAUUUUCCGCGGUUGUUUUCAUUUUCUGGAUUUGGGAUUGCAACGCUUCAUUUUCUCUGGUUAAUAUUUUCUUUUCACCCCCAUCUGCAGCAGCUUGCAAGCCAUUUUCAAUUUUGGUGGACGACUAUUGGGCUCGCAAAGCUCGUUUUCUCUGGUUAAUCUUUUAUUUUCCCCCUCAUCUAUAGCAACUUGCAAGCCAUUUUAAAAUUGUAGGUCUUUGACUUGUUUUUCCAAUUUUCCUAUCGUGGCUCUAUACUCAUUUUUCCUUGGCCAGCCAGUUCCAUUGUUCUUGUGACGUUUCAGCAAAUUCUUGGGGGUGUGGCCUCUUAGCCUGUCUUCCGAACUCUAUUUCUUUCUUGUACCAAGAAAUCUACCCUGGUGCAACCUCUUCUUUAUAUAUGUCAUGUACCCGAGUGCCUGCCAUCAAGUAUUGACAUUCGCUCCAAAUUUGACGGACAACGGCUUCGGGAAAUUGACCAUUAGGACUAAUCUCGACCACGUGGCGACUAAUAUCCUUGUCCGUGGGAAUCAUUUGGC